rnacentral:rRNA from 1 species
GACGAACGCUGGCGGCGUGCUUAACACAUGCAAGUCGAACGGAAAGGCCCUGCUUUUGUGGGGUGCUCGAGUGGCGAACGGGUGAGUAACACGUGAGUAACCUGCCCUUGACUUUGGGAUAACUUCAGGAAACUGGGGCUAAUACCGGAUAGGAGCUCCUGCUGCAUGGUGGGGGUUGGAAAGUUUCGGCGGUUGGGGAUGGACUCGCGGCUUAUCAGCUUGUUGGUGGGGUAGUGGCUUACCAAGGCUUUGACGGGUAGCCGGCCUGAGAGGGUGACCGGCCGCAUUGGGACUGAGAUACGGCCCAGACUCCUACGGGAGGCAGCAGUGGGGAAUAUUGCACAAUGGGCGGAAGCCUGAUGCAGCAACGCCGCGUGCGGGAGGACGGCCUUCGGGUUGUAAACCGCUUUCGCCUGUGACGAAGCGUGAGUGACGGUAAUGGGUAAAGAAGCACCGGCUAACUACGU